UCCUGGCGUUGAAUCAAUCCGGCACGAUCAACGGAACUCCGGCGUUGAAUCCAAUUCCGGCAGGAUCAACCGGAACUCCGGCGUUGAAUCCAAUUCCGGUGAAUCCAAUUCCGGCGGGAUCAACCGGAAAUCCGGCGUUGACUCCAAUUCCGGCGUUGACUCAAAUUCCGGCGUUGAAUCCAAUUCCGGCAGGAUCAACCGGAAAUCCGGCGUUGAAUCCAAUUCCGGCGGGAUCAACCGGAAAUCCGGCGUUGAAUCCAAUUCCGGCAGGAUCAACCGGAACUCCGGCGUUGAAUCCAAUUCCGGCAGGAUCAACCGGAACCCCGGCGUUGAAUCCAAUUCCGGUUGAUCCCGCCGGACCUGACUGCUAUCGGAUUGGUACUAAGCCAUGCGAGUCGUUGUAGCAAUACAAGGCGGACUGCUCAGUAACACGUAGUUAACUUAACCUAUGGAUGGGAAUAACCUCGGGAAACUGAGAAUAAUACCCAAUGGGCCACAGUGCCUGGAAUGGCCUGUGGUUGACAUGAUUUAUCGCCGUAGGAUAGGACUGCGGCCUAUCAGCUUGUUGGU
rnacentral:rRNA from 1 species